CCUACGGGUGGCAGCAGUGAGGAAUAUUGGUCAAUGGGCGCGAGCCUGAACCAGCCAAGUCGCGUGAGGGAGGACGGCCCUACGGGUUGUAAACCUCUUUUGCCGGGGAGCAACUGGCGUCACGUGUGGCGCCACUGAGAGUACCCUGAGAAAAAGCAUCGGCUAACUCCGUUCCAGCAGCCGCGGUAAUACGGGGGAUGCGAGCGUUAUCCGGAUUUAUUGGGUGUAAAGGGUGCGUAGGCGGAUCGUUAAGUCAGUGGUCGAAUUGAGGGGCUAAACCCCUUCCCGCCAUUGAAACUGGCGAUCUUGAGUGGAAGAGAAGUAUGCGGAAUGCGUGGUGUAGCGGUGAAAUGCAUAGAUAUCACGAGGAACCCCAGUGGCGAAGGCAGCAUGCCGGCUUCCGACUGACGCUGAAGCACGAAAGCGUGGGGAUCGAACAGGAUUAGAUACCCGAGUAGUC
rnacentral:rRNA from 1 species